rnacentral:rRNA from 1 species
AUUGAACGCUGGCGGCAGGCCUAACACAUGCAAGUCGAACGAGUGGCGGACGGGUGAGUAAUGUCUGGGAAACUGCCUGAUGGAGGGGGAUAACUACUGGAAACGGUAGCUAAUACCGCAUCCCAUCAGAUGUGCCCAGAUGGGAUUAGCUAGUAGGUGAUGUAACGGCUCACCGACGCGAAGAUCUCUAUCUGGUCUGAGAGGAGGACCAGCCACACUGAACUUGAUAUACUGUCCAGACUCCUACGGGAGGCAGCAGUGGGGAAUAUUGCACAAUGGGCUCAAGCCUGAUGCAGCCAUGCCACGUGUAUGAAGAAGGCCUGCGGGUUGUAGAGUACUUUCAGCGGGGAGGCGUUACCCGCAGAAGAAGCACCGGCUAACUCCGUGCCAGCAGCCGCGGUAAUUC